GAUGAACGCUGGCGGCAUGCCUAAUACAUGCAAGUCGAACGAGAGGAAGGAAAGCUUGCUUUCCUGAAUCUAGUGGCGAACGGGUGAGUAACACGUAGGUAACCUGCCCAUGUGCCCGGGAUAACUUCUGGAAACGGAUGCUAAAACCGGAUAGGUAGCAGACAAGCAUUUGACUGCUAUUAAAGUGGCCUCGGCCAUGAACAUGGAUGGACCUGCGGUGCAUUAGCUGGUUGGUGAGGUAACGGCCCACCAAGGCGACGAUGCAUAGCCGGCCUGGAGAGGGCGGACGGCCACAUUGGGACUGAGACCACGGGCCCAAACUCCGUACGGGAGCAGCAGUAGGGAAUUUUUCGCAAGUGGGGGAACCCUGAACGAGCAAUGCCGCGUGAGUGAGGAGGUCUCGGAUCGUAAAGCUCUGUUGUAAGAGAAAAACGGCACUCAGUAGGGAAUGAUGAGUGAGUGAU
rnacentral:rRNA from 1 species